rnacentral:rRNA from 1 species
UGGUGGAGUGAUUUGUCUGGUUAAUUCCGAUAACGAACGAGACCUUAACCUGCUAAAUAGCGACGCGAACAUUUGUUGGUGGUCGCUUCUUAGAGGGACUAUCGAUGUUGCAAUCGAUGGAAGUUUGAGGCAAUAACA